UCCGUAGGUGAACCUGCGGAGGGAUCAUUAAAAAUAGGGCACUUAUGCGCUAUACACCACUGUCAACCUACCCUGUCUCGUUGCCUCGGCGGGCGGCUCCCGGGGGAGCCCUCCUGGCCAUCGCGGUGCUCGCCGGCAGCGACCCUUCUCUACUCUAAACGUCUCUUCUGAGUGGCACGCUGAAAAGCAAAAUUAUCAAAACUUUCAACAACGGAUCUCUUGGCUCUGGCAUCGAUGAAGAACGCAGCGAAACGCGAUAAGUAAUGUGAAUUGCAGAAUUUAGUGAAUCAUCGAACUUUUGAACGCACAUUGCGCCCGGCGGCACUCCGCCGGGCAUGCCUGUCCGAGCGUCAUUAUACUGCCCUCGACUCUCCGAGUCGGUGUUGGGAGUCUCUGCGCCUGUACGCAGCUCCCCAAGUCCACUGGCGUCGCGCCACGGUGCCCCUGCGUAGUAAUUUCACCUCGCUUGGGACCCUGGGUGCCGGCUGCCUUCUCUCUCGCAGCAGGCUCUUUCGAGUCGGCUCCAGCACAGGUUGGACCUCGGGGAUCCAGGGGGGUAGGGGGGGUUACCCGGCUGGAACUUAAGGCAUAUCAAUAAGGCGGGGAGGGG
rnacentral:rRNA from 1 species